UACGGGGGGAGCAAGCGUUGUUCGGAUUUACUGGGCGUAAAGGGCGCGUAGGCGGUCGUGACAAGUCACUUGUGAAAUCUCCGGGCUUAACUCGGAACGGUCAAGUGAUACUGUCGGACUAGAGUACAGAAGGGGCAACUGGAAUUCUCGGUGUAGCGGUGAAAUGCGUAGAUAUCGAGAGGAACACCUGCGGCGAAGGCGGGUUGCUGGGCUGAUACUGACGCUGAGGCGCGAAGGUCAGGGGAGCAAACGGG
rnacentral:rRNA from 1 species